rnacentral:rRNA from 1 species
UGAACGCUAGCGGCAGGCCUAACACAUGCAAGUCGCGGGGCAGCACGGGUAGCAAUACCUGGUGGCGACCGGCGCACGGGUGCGUAACGCGUAUGCAACCUGCCCCCAUCAGGGGAAUAGCCCGCCGAAAGGCGGAUUAAUGCCCCAUAGGCCCAGGGGCGCCGCAUGGCGCUAUGGGUAAAGCUCCGGCGGAUGGGGAUGGGCAUGCGUGCCAUUAGCUAGUUGGGGCGGUAACGGCGCACCAAGGUGACGAUGGCUAGGGGGUCUGAGAGGAUGGUCCCCCACACUGGUACUGAGACACGGACCAGACUCCUACGGGAGGCAGCAGUGAGGAAUAUUGGUCAAUGGGCGAGAGCCUGAACCAGCCAAGUAGCGUGAAGGAAUGAAGGUCCUAUGGAUUGUAAACUUCUUUUAUAGUAGAAUAAAGUGAGCCACGUGUGGUUUUUUGUAUGUAUACUAUGAAUAAGGAUCGGCUAACUCCGUGCCAGCAGCCGC